rnacentral:rRNA from 1 species
GUUGGUGGUUAUAGCGGGGAGGUUCCACCUCUUCCCAUUCCGAACAGAGAAGUUAAGCUCCCCUGCGCCGAUGGUACUGCCUCAUGUAGGUGGGAGAGUAGGUCGCUGCCAACU